UAGAGUUUGAUCCUGGCUCAGAGCGAACGCUGGCGGCAGGCUUAACACAUGCAAGUCGAACGGUCCUUCGGGAUAGUGGCGGACGGGUGAGUUAACACGUGGGAACGUACCCUUAGGNUUCGGAACAACACAGGGCAAACUUGUGCUAAUACCGGAUAAGCCCUUCGGGGGAAAGAUUUAUCGCCUUUGGAGCGGCCCGCGUCUGAUUAGCUUGUUGGUGAGGUAAUGGCUCACCAAGGCUACGAUCAGCAGCUGGUCUGAGAGGAUGGCCAGCCACACUGGGACUGAGACACGGCCCAGACUCCUACGGGAGGCAGCAGUGGGGAAUCUUGCGCAAUGGGCGAAAGCCUGACGCAGCCAUGCCGCGUGGAUGAUGAAGGUCUUAGGAUUGUAAAAUCCUUUCACCGGGGACGAUAAUGACGGUACCCGGAGAAGAAGCCCCGGCUAACUUCGUGCCAGCAGCCGCGGUAAUACGAAGGGGGCUAGCGUUGCUCGGAAUUACUGGGCGUAAAGGGCGCGUAGGCGGACAGUUGAGUUGGGGGUGAAAGCCCGGGGCUCAACCUCGGAAAUGCCUUCAAUACUGGCUGUCUUGAGUACGGGGGAGGUGAGUGGAACUCCGAGUGUAGAGGUGAAAUUCGUAGAUAUUCGGAAGAACACCAGUGGCGAAGGCGACUCACUGGCCCGUUACURACGCCKAGGCGCGAAAGCGUGGGGAGCAAACAGGAUUAGAUACCUUGGUAGUCCACGCCGUAAACUAUGAGUGCUAGUUGUCGGCAUGCAUGCAUGUCGGUGACGCAGCUAACGCAUUAAGCACUCCGCCUGGGGAGUACGGUCGCAAG
rnacentral:rRNA from 1 species